UGUGACAACCCGAGAAAUUAGAAAAUUAUUAAAAUCUUAAAUGAUUGGUUUAAGGUCAAAUAAUAGACCUAGACAGAAAAUAAGUGCAUGUGUUUGAUGUUUUCAGAAAGGAAAUUUGAGGAUUUAAAAUUUCUUUUAGUGAAUUAUUCAGGAUUAAGGGUAUGUGUGUAUAUAUUCUGUGAUUACGGUAUUUUGUGUACAGAAUGUGGUUAAGGGUCAAGUGUUGACCAGAUAAAUUAUAUCUGUGUCAAACCCUAAUAUUAUUAGAACGUCAACGUUCAUUUAUAAAAUUAUUACGUUUGACAAGAAACCCUAGAAAUCGGUUCUGGAAACCCUAAUUUUAAUACCGGGAAUCCAAAACCCUAAUUUCAAAUUAUCGAACUUAAACUUUUCUGUCAGGAACCCUGAUGACGGAUUUGAAAACCCUAAUUUCUAAUUAGGGAAAACGAAAGUGUUAAUUUAAUAUUUUAAUGUUAAUUAGGACAUAUUAAUUCUAAUUUCAAGUUAAGUAAUUAGAAAACCUUAAUCUAAUUACGAGAUUUAAUUUCUAAAUUAGAAAAUUUAUUUUCUAUUAGAAACCCUAGUUAGUGGGUUAUAAACCCUAAGGGUUAAAAAGUUGUGUNNNNN
rnacentral:lncRNA from 1 species